CAUGCCUUACACAUGCAAGUCGAACGGCAGGCACGGGAAGCAAUCCUGGUGGCGAGUGGCGAACGGGUGAGUAAUAUAUCGGAACGUGCCCAGUCGUGGGGGAUAACGUAGCGAAAGCUACGCUAAUACCGCAUACGAUCUAUGGAUGAAANCGGGGGAUCGCAAGACCUCGCGCGAUUGGAGCGGCCGAUAUCAGAUUAGGUAGUUUGGUGAGGUAAAGGCUCACCAAGCCGACGAUCUGUAGCUGGUCUGAGAGGACGACCAGCCACACUGGGACUGAGACACGGCCCCAGACUCCUACGGGAGGCAGCAGUGGGGAAUUUUGGACAAUGGGCGCAAGCCUGAUCCAGCAAUGCCGCGUGCAGGAUGAAGGCCUUCGGGUUGUAAACUGCUUUUGUACGGAACGAAACGGUGAGCUCUAAUACAGUUUGCUAAUGACGGUACCGUAAGAAUAAGCACCGGCUAACUACGUG
rnacentral:rRNA from 1 species